AUUGAACGCUGGCGGCAUGCCUUACACAUGCAAGUCGAACGGUAACAGGUCUUCGGAUGCUGACGAGUGGCGAACGGGUGAGUAAUACAUCGGAACGUGCCCGAUCGUGGGGGAUAACGAAGCGAAAGCUUUGCUAAUACCGCAUACGAUCUACGGAUGAAAGCAGGGGACCGCAAGGCCUUGCGCGAACGGAGCGGCCGAUGGCAGAUUAGGUAGUUGGUGGGAUAAAAGCUUACCAAGCCGACGAUCUGUAGCUGGUCUGAGAGGACGACCAGCCACACUGGGACUGAGACACGGCCCAGACUCCUACGGGAGGCAGUAGUGGGGAAUUUUGGACAAUGGGCGAAAGCCUGAUCCAGCCAUGCCGCGUGCAGGAUGAAGGCCUUCGGGUUGUAAACUGCUUUUGUACGGAACGAAAAGACUCUGGUUAAUACCUGGGGUCCAUGACGGUACCGUAAGAAUAAGCACCGGCUAACUACGUG
rnacentral:rRNA from 1 species